rnacentral:rRNA from 1 species
CCUAGAUGACGCUAGCGGCAGGCCUAAUACAUGCAAGUCGGACGGGAUUGGAGAGCUUGCUUUUCAUGAGAGUGGCGCACGGGUGCGUAACACGUAUGUAACCUACCUUCACCAGGGGGAUAGCCUCUCGAAAGAGAGAUUAAGACCGCAUAACAUUAUAGGAUAGCAUUAUUUUAUAAUCAAAUAUUUAUAGGGUGAAGAUGGGCAUGCGGAACAUUAGCUAGUUGGUAAGGUAACGGCUUACCAAGGCUACGAUGUUUAGGGGAUCUGAGAGGAUGACCCCCCACACUGGUACUGAGACACGGACCAGACUCCUACGGGAGGCAGCAGUAAGGAAUAUUGGUCAAUGGGCGGAAGCCUGAACCAGCCAUGCCGCGUGCAGGAAGACGGCCCUACGGGUUGUAAACUGCUUUUAUACGGGAAUAAACCUAUCUACGUGUAGAUAGCUGAAUGUACUGUAAGAAUAAGGAUCGGCUAACUCCGUGCCAGCAGCCGCGGUAAUACGGAGGAUCCAAGCGUUAUCCGGAUUUAUUGGGUUUAAAGGGUGCGUAGGUGGCCUGUUAAGUCAGGGGUGAAAGACGGUAGCUCAACUAUCGCAGUGCCUUUGAUACUGACGGGCUUGAAUGAACUAGAGGUAGGCGGAAUGUGACAAGUAGCGGUGAAAUGCAUAGAUAUGUCACAGAACACCAAUUGCGAAGGCAGCUUACUAUGGUUUUAUUGACACUGAGGCACGAAAGCGUGGGGAUCAAACAGGAUUAGAUACCCUGGUAGUCCACGCCCUAAACGAUGAAUACUCGAUGUUGGCGAUAUACGGUCAGCGUCUAAGCGAAAGCGUUAAGUAUCCACCUGGAGUG